CUCGCCCGCCUUGCGCAAAGUCCUGGAUGCGCAUGCGUCAUCGUCCCCCGGGGGGGCGGGGGCGGGGGCGGAGCUGCUGCAUCCGGGUAUCCGUGGGCAUGUUUUCUUUGUUGAAACUGGUAGAGUGCGGGAUUUUCGCGCGGCCCGAUGCGGGCUCGGGACCCUCUGCUGGGUGGGUGCAGAAUGGGUCGUUGCCAACCCACUCUGGGACGUUGCAGACUCGGGCUGAACCUCCCUGGACCCUUCACGGCCUCUUCUUCCUGACCAGUGCCGGGCUGCGGACUUCCCAGGAUCUCUCCCACAUCCCCAAACAGGCAAAGAAAUGGAGGGGAUAAAAAACCUUAUCACAGAAUCUGCACCCACCCAUGCAACCUGCCUUGGUACAGUCCACAGUGCCGUCCACAUCUCUAGAGAAACGUCGCGAUGGAAAUGGUUCUUAAGGAAAGAAAUGUUUCUUUAGAAACAUUUUUCUAAGUGGUAUCACAAAGAAACCGAGAAGACACAGUGCCCAACUGCCAGGAACUUCUCCUGAAAUUUCUCAUGAAGCUGUAUGAGUGGACAGAAAAAAUAAAAUGAGUUUCAGAUUGGAAAAGUGUAAAAAGGAUGUGUUGGGGAAAAAUAGGAUGAUGGAGUCAAGCUUUCGGUUAUUAAAAAGGAAAGGGUGGUAGUCUCUGUAAAUGGUUCAAAAUAUCAGUCAAAUGUGUUUCUAAAAUAAGUCAUGUGGUAUCCAGUUUUUCCACCACUAAAAACUAUGUCUUGGAACCAGUGUUGGAUUCUGGAAAUGUCAGCAGUUGCAGAGCUCCUCUGAAUGCUCCUAAUCCAUGGUUUCAAGGUCAACAGAGCCAUGUUCAGGAUACAACCUGGAGCAGCUGAUUGCAAUUAAUACCCCAGCACUAUCUGAGGAGUUACCUCCAAGAUAUGUGACAUGGUAGCUCAGGGGUAAGUUCCGCUCUCUCAGACCAAGAGAGAGGAUCGGAGGAGCUUUCAACCAAGGAGCCCAUCUAGAGUGAGCUACAAAGAGGAAAAAGAGCUCUGAGUGAUUCUGGCAUAGAAGACAUAUUCAUUGAUCUUAUAUCACAGACAAGUUGACAUCAGACAUCUCUGUUGUUAGAGCUGCUGUAGAAUCGUUAGCUACAGUCAUCAGUGCAACAAUCAAGGCAAGUAACACAAAGAUCAAUAAACUCCAGUCUGAUGUGACAUUCCUGUGUUCCAGUAUGUCCCAAGGAACUCCUGCCACUGGUUCAAUCAUCACCCCAUGUGGGUUCAUGCUUCCAUUGCCUACAGUUAUUGAGCUGAGCUAUUAUUCCUUUUUUUUUUUAAGAUUUUAUUUAUUUGAUAGAGAGAGAGAAAGCACAAGCAGGAGCAGCAGAAGAAGGACAGGGAGAAGCAGGCUUCCCGCAGAGCAGGGAGCC